rnacentral:lncRNA from 1 species
GCCAUGAAUGUAGCUGAAGUAAGCACUGUAGAGUGCGUAGAGUUUGGUUGGACAUCUAAGACACUAAAGUCAUUUAGGUUCAGUGUCAAUCAUCUAGGUUCAGUGUCAGUCAUCCAGACUUUAGUCUUGCCACAGGAUUUAGAUGACUCUGGAAGAAAGAGUGAGGCUGACAAUUUUGUGCAACUCACUUAAAUCCAAUUCAUACACAAGUUAAAAUAUUACUCUGUGAUGUCACUGGUACUUUUCAGACAUAAGGAUCACCACCACCGCUGCCAACUGAUUAAUCAACAUUUUUGACUGUCUCAUCCUUUUAAGUCUUCUUAAAUCUAGCUUUAUUUGUUUUUAACUGCCCUAGCAGCGGGACUAGUAUUUUCUUGGUAGUUAUCCUAGAUCAUCAGUCUUAGAAGGAACCUCAAAGACCACCCACUUUAAUCCCUUCAUUUUGUAGGUGUGAAAAAUGAGGCACAGAGAAGAUAUUCAGAUAGUUACCUUCCCAGCGGUGACUUCAUGGCUUCUGGCUCUAAAAGCAAUACCAUAGAGACCCCAAUAAAAAAAGAAAAAGAAGAAGAAGAAAUAGUAGUGGAGGAAGAGAUUAUUAGCACUGGAAAACCUACAGAGGGAAAGACUAAAAAGAGAUUUUCCUGGUUCCACAAUAUCAAAGAAUGCAAGCUGUGGAACUUCUUUCAUUUUAAAAAACAUGACAAACAAGUAAAGAAUGUGCACAAGUGGGAAGAAAUUGAUCAAGAGGUAUUGGAAGAUUACUGUCCUUAUUCUACUGAAGCCCCUAAAACAUUGCCAACAGAGUGGACAAAUAUUGAAGUUGGUAAUUGGUUAUGGAGCAUUGGAAUGGAGGAGUAUGUUGUAAAAUUUUAUUGUAAAGGAAUAAGUGGUGAAAAACUCCUUACACUGGACAAUCACUCGCUAAAAGUAAGUUCAAGAAUUGACUUUUUUUUUACAAUACAUUAGACAACAUAUAUAUAUAUAUAUAAUCACUAAUUUUAUGGAGAGAGUAUAUAAAACAUAAUACAAAAAUGGGAAAUCCUAUGUAUGAUCUAUUUGCCAAUCUUAUGGUUUUAAGGAAAUCAUGUUAACCUCCUUUUGAAUGUAGUAUCAAGGGAGAUUUCUUUUUGAUAGUGAUUUGUUAAAUUCCCCCCUCCCCUUUUUAGUAUUGCUAACAUGUGGUCAUUUCUUUUUAUUUAUAUUUAUUUAUUUAUUUUUAAAAACCUACCAUUCCUUUUUGGAAUCAAUCCCCAUGUAUUAAUUCCAAGGAAGAAGAGGAGUAGGAUCUGGGCAAGGAGUGGGUAGUGAGUGACUUGCCGAGGGUCACACUGUUAGCAAGAGUAUCAAGAGUAUGUGAGGGGGGCACUGGGUAGCUCAGUGGAUUGAAAGCCAGGCCAGUAGAUGGGAGAUCCUGGGUUCAAAUUUGACAUCAGACAUUUCCCAGCUGUGUGUGACAAGGAAAUCACUUUAAAAGACUGAUAUAUAUUAACUUAAGGUCGCCAAGGAAUUCAGCUAUGUAAUUCCUAAAUGAAAACUCAAGUCAGCAGUCAACCUUUUAUGGAGUUUAAUUACAAACAGGAGGAAGAAAGAUAUUAGAGAUAGAGAGAGAGAGGGAGAGAGAAAGGGGAGAGAAGGGAAUAGGGCUUAAAUACCUCUUCUGUUUAGGCUGGGCUAAAAGGCCCAAGCCCUUAGAUAGCUGAGGCAAAGAAAAGAGAUCAGUCCCUAACACUCACGUGGCCAAAAUGGAGAAACAGUCUCAGGGGCCUCCACCUCCAGCUUCCUUCAGAGCAAGCUUCUCAGAGCACCACCUCUCAGAGCAAAACCUCUCCAACCAACCCCGCCUAGUCCUCAGACCCCGCUGUCUUUAAGGAAACCAUCCAAGUUCCCUCCCCUCAGUUCUCACAUCUACCAAUCACUGUCCAUGUCUUCCCUGUGCCAAUGGUGGCUCUAGCUUAACCCAGGACCGCCCAGAGGUCUGUGGCUUUGCACAUGUCUGUCUGUUGAAGGUCAUAUUCUCAAAUAAUUAAAUCUUGAUCCUUUGCUGCAGCCCUUCGUAAAUCCUGUUAGGACUGAGUAGGGUGGAGAUUUUAAGUUCCAAGACCUGGUUCUGUCAUUCCAAGUAUGGUCUCCCGGCCUGCGAGAGGCUGUAAAGGUGAGAAAAAGAGAGGAUAGAGAUAGAGUAGAAGUAUUGAUCCCGCGAAGGGCGUGAACGAGCCGACUUUAGAGAUGUGAAUAACCGAGUCAGUAGACAAAUAUUAUUUGUAUGAGCCACAGCUAAGCUCCGACCACUGAGUGUAAUUAUUCAGGCUAAAACCACCCAAUGAUCUCAACUUAACACCAUACUGGUCAGAGGAUAAUGCUAGCUCAGAUGGAAAGGAGAUCAGAAACUGAAGGAGGUAGAUAAUGCUAGGUAGCAUUAGGAGAAAGAGAAGAAGUAAGGCAGGCCUGGCAUAAAGACCAGGCCUUAGUGAGAAAGAUAGAGAAGAGAGAGAGAGAGACAGGCAGGGGAGAAGAUGCCCCUUGCCAAACCUGGGAAUGCUCUUCAAGUGGGGGGAGCUUACUGGGGCUCGUUUAUUUAUAGUCUUGACAGCUCAAUACAUAUUGAACAGUUAUAUGAUACCUCAAUACAUAUGGAUGAGUUACCUGGGGUAUUCCCAUUGGAUAAUGCAACUUAUGACAAGGUGAAGGUGGGGUUAUUAUCCCCGGGAGAGUGAGACAAAGGAAAGCCAGGUUUCGCGCCUAAACUUCAGCCACGCUGGCAAUAAAAUUUAUUGCCAUGCACA